AGCUCUGUUAAAACCAAUGGAGAUAUCAAUAUGUGUCAAACUGCACAGGCAUGGAAAAUCUUGAUUAAUUCUGCACCUUAGGAAUCAGCAUUCAUGACAGCAAGCUUUCUUAUUUUGAUUUCCUAAGUGCAAUUGAUGAUGGCAGAGCAUCUAAAAACCAACAGAGACAAAAGCAGGAUACACCACCUGCAAGUUUUGCAGUGCUCAGCUUAGAACAGACCCUAAUUAAGAUAAAAGAAAUAGUUGCAUCAUCUCAUGAUUUGUUGUACAAGACUGAGGAAGGGCAAAAAGUCACUCCUCCUUAAUCUGCUUGGGAGCUGUCAGAGAGAGGCAUCUUCUCACAGAUACAAGUAGUGACUGCUGGCUUUAACACAAUUGCACAGGAGUUUAAAGAUAUUUACUCUUCAAAAGAUACUACAGUAUAUCAAAAAAGGAGUUCUGGGCUAUAUGUAACCAACAUUUUCAGCAGCUGACUGAAGAACAAUUUGAGAAUCUUUGGAACACCUUGGAUGUCUGUGGUAGUGGACAGUUGAAAUAACAGGACUUUUUUGAAGAAGUUCAGCUCUGAACUUCUAACAGUAUCAUCAAGCACUCCC